rnacentral:rRNA from 1 species
UGGGGGAUAUUGCACAAUGGGGGGAACCCGUGAUGCAGCGACGCCGCGUGAAGGAAGAAGUAUCUCGGUAUGUAAACUUCUAUCAGCAGGGAAGAAAAUGACGGUACCUGACUAAGAAGCCCCGGCUAACUACGUGCC